rnacentral:rRNA from 1 species
CUACGGGAUGCAGCAGGCGCGAAACCUUUACAAUGCACGCAAGUGUGAUAAGGGAAUCCUGAGUGCUUUGCUUUUGUAAGGCUUUUGUAAAGAGUAAAUAUCUUUAUGAAUAAGUGGUGGGCAAGACUGGUGCCAGCCGCCGCGGUAACACCAGCUCCACGAGUGGCAAUCGCAUUUAUUGGGUCUAAAGCGUCCGUAGCCGGUUCAAUAAGUCUCUUGUGAAAUCAUUAAGCUUAACUUAAUGGUGUGCUUGAGAUACUGCUGGACUAGGAACUGGGAGGAGUCAGAAGUAUUUUUAGGGGAGCGGUAAAAUGCUAUAAUCCUGGAAAGACUACCUGUGGCGAAAGCGUCUGACUAGAACAGAUUCGACGGUGAGGGACGAAAGCUAAGGGAGCAAUCCGGAUUAGAUACCCCUGUAGUC